ACUUGGUGAUGUGGGCAUUUAUGCAAAGGUCCCUAAAAUGCUCCCAUGUCUCAAAAAAUUGUUCACCAUCUAUUUGUGAGAAACUGGUGAUUGCUUUCCUAAACU